GUAGCUUAGUUGUAGUGGAACAAUUCUCUGGGAGCCAAAACCCCAAAUUAUGGAUAUUGUUAUAGGUGCACCUUUCUGGCUGGUAUACCUUUUAUGUCACAGACAUACCUUAACAUUUGACAAAUGUUGUCUUUGGUAAAAGUGCCGGCAGUGCAGAGGAAGAAAAGAGGGAGAUUGACAUAAAGAUGACUACUUCUUCUGUAAAGGUCAUCUGCUCCUCCAGCUCCCCAGCCACACCACCAAAUGGAUUCAUUCCCUCAGGGAAGCACUCUGAC
rnacentral:lncRNA from 1 species